rnacentral:misc_RNA from 1 species
GAUGAAGAACGCAGCGAAAUGCGAUAAGUAAUGUGAAUUGCAGAAUUCAGUGAAUCAUCGAAUCUUUGAACGCACAUUGCGCCCGCCAGUAUUCUGGCGGGCAUGCCUGUUCGAGCGUCAUUUCAACCAUCAAGCCCCCGGCUUGUGUUGGGGACCUGCGGCUGCCGCAGGCCCUGAAAAGCAGUGGCGGGCUCGCUGUCACACCGAGCGUAGUAGCAUACAUCUCGCUCUGGGCGUGCUGCGGGUUCCGGCCGUUAAACCACCUUCAUAACCCAAGGUUGACCUCGGAUCAGGUAGGAAGACCCGCUGAACUUAAGAAUAUCAAUAAGCGGAGGA